rnacentral:rRNA from 1 species
UGGGGAAUAUUGCACAAUGGGCGCAAGCCUGAUGCAGCCAUGCCGCGUGUGUGAAGAAGGCCUUCGGGUUGUAAAGCACUUUCAGCGAGGAGGAAGGUGGUGAGCUUAAUACGCUCAUCAAUUGACGUUACUCGCAGAAGAAGCACCGGCUAACUCCGUGCCAGCAGCCGCGGUAAUACGGAGGGUGCAAGCGUUAAUCGGAAUUACUGGGCGUAAAGCGCACGCAGGCGGUUUGUUAAGUCAGAUGUGAAAUCCCCGGGCUCAACCUGGGAACUGCAUUUGAAACUGGCAAGCUAGAGUCUCGUAGAGGGGGGUAGAAUUCCAGGUGUAGCGGUGAAAUGCGUAGAGAUCUGGAGGAAUACCGGUGGCGAAGGCGGCCCCCUGGACGAAGACUGACGCUCAGGUGCGAAAAGCGUGGGGAGCAAAACAGGAUUAGAUACCCUGGUAGUCCACGCUGUAAAACGAUGUCGAUUUUGGAGGUUGUGCCCUUGAGGCGUGGCUUCCGGAGCUAACGCGUUAAAUCGACCGCC